rnacentral:rRNA from 1 species
GAUGAACGCUAGCUACAGGCUUAACACAUGCAAGUCGAGGGGAAACGAUAUUGGAAGCUUGCUUCCGAUAGGCGUCGACCGGCGCACGGGUGAGUAACGCGUAUCCAACCUGCCCAUCACUUGGGGAUAACCUUGCGAAAGUAAGACUAAUACCCAAUGACGUCUCUAGAAGACAUCUGAAAGAGAUUAAAGAUUUAUCGGUGAUGGAUGGGGAUGCGUCUGAUUAGCUUGUUGGCGGGGUAACGGCCCACCAAGGCGACGAUCAGUAGGGGUUCUGAGAGGAAGGUCCCCCCACAUUGGAACUGAGACACGGUCCAAACUCCUACGGGAGGCAGCAGUGAGGAAUAUUGGUCAAUGGACGAGAGUCUGAACCAGCCAAGUAGCGUGCAGGAAGACGGCCCUAUGGGUUGUAAACUGCUUUUAUAAGGGAAUAAAAGUGAGUCUCGUGAGACUUUUUGCAUGUACCUUAUGAAUAAGGACCGGCUAAUUCCGUGCCAGCAGCCG